rnacentral:rRNA from 1 species
GACGAACGCUGGCGGCGUGCUUAACACAUGCAAGUCGAACGCUGAAGCUCAGCUUUUGUUGGGUGGAUGAGUGGCGAACGGGUGAGUAACACGUGAGUAACCUGCCUCCUUCUUUGGGGUAACGCCCGGAAACGGGUGCUAAUACUGGAUAUUCACUGGUCUUCGCAUGGGGGUUGGUGGAAAGGGUUUUUCUGGUGGGGGAUGGGCUCGCGGCCUAUCAGCUUGUUGGUGGGGUGAUGGCCUACCAAGGCUUUGACGGGUAGCCGGCCUGAGAGGGUGACCGGUCACAUUGGGACUGAGAUACGGCCCAGACUACUACGGGAGGCAGCAGUGGGGAAUAUUGCGCAAUGGGCGCAAGCCUGAUGCAGCGACGCCGCGUGAGGGAUGGAGGCCUUCGGGUUGUGAACCUCUUUCGCUCAUGGUCAAGCCGCAACAAUGGUUGUGGUGAGGGUAGUGGGUAAAGAAGCGCCGGCUAACUACGUG